UGUAUGUACAUAUGUGUACAUAUAAUUUCAACAUAUCCUAACUGGCAAACAGCUACCAACAAUAUUAUUAGUAACGACAAUAACACUAAAUAUGGCAAUCGAUAUAGUUAUGGCAACGAUUAUGCUAGUGAACGAUUGUCGCCGCCACCAUCACCGCCAUGUCACUUAAAAAAUUAAACUGGCGACAUUUGUAGUCUAGCCACUAUGGUGGCGAAGUAAAAAUCAAUCUGCGCAGCCUCGAUUGUAAAGGUUGCCCAACUGUCUGCUAUGCUAAAGCGUUGAUUCUUUUUCAGAAACAUCAUAACAAACUAAAUGGCGACAACUGGCUCCGGGAGACGGCGACGGCGCACUCUAUUUGCUUUUCUAACUUACUAUGCACAUAUGUAAGUAUGUAUGUAUGUCGUUAUGUAUAACCCUCGCGCAGUCGACGGCUUUAAGGCUCCAUCGUCAUCGGCAGUCAACAAUUUGCGUCAUUUUUGGAUUUGAACAGCCGAGAAUUCAAAAGUAAUGUUGUGGAACUUAUGAAUGAACAUACUUAUGAUUGCUUAAUACUGAUAUAAAUGGCUAAGGGUACCAAUUCACUCGAUUUCUAAUGUGUGCGUUUAUUUCAAAAUAUAUUUUAUCAUAAUC